ACCCUGGUUUAGUCACUUUCACUGCAUUAAUCAAUGCAUUUGUAAAAAGAGGGAAAAGCAUUGAAAUUGUAUGCGAGAAAGUUUUUAAAAGGAUAAAGUUCACUUGAAACAAAUAACA
rnacentral:precursor_RNA from 1 species